rnacentral:rRNA from 1 species
GCCAGACUCCUACGGGAGGCAGCAGUGGGGAAUAUUGGGCAAUGGGCGCAAGCCUGACCCAGCAACGCCGCGUGAAGGAAGAAGGCUUUCGGGUUGUAAACUUCUUUUAAGAGGGAAGAGAAGAAGACGGUACCUCUGGAAUAAGCCACGACUAACUACGUGCCAGCAGCCGCGGUAAUACGGAGGAUGCGAGCGUUAUCCGGAUUUAUUGGGUUUAAAGGGUGCGUAGGCGGGCUGUUAAGUCAGCGGUCAAAUGUCGGGGCUCAACCCCGGCCUGCCGUUGAAACUGGCGGCCUCGAGUGGGCGAGAAGUAUGCGGAAUGCGUGGUGUAGCGGUGAAAUGCAUAGAUAUCACGCAGAACUCCGAUUGCGAAGGCAGCAUACCGGCGCCCUACUGACGCUGAGGCACGAAAGCGUGGGUAUCGAACAGGAUUAGAUACCCCGGUAAA